GAUGAACGCUGGCGGCGUGCCUAAUACAUGCAAGUCGAGCGAACAGACGAGGAGCUUGCUCCUCUGACGUUAGCGGCGGACGGGUGAGUAACACGUGGAUAACCUACCUAUAAGACUGGGAUAACUACGGGAAACCGGAGCUAAUACCGGAUAAUAUAUUGAACCGCAUGGUUCAAUAGUGAAAGACGGUUUUGCUGUCACUUAUAGAUGGAUCCGCGCCGCAUUAGCUAGUUGGUAAGGUAACGGCUUACCAAGGCAACGAUGCGUAGCCGACCUGAGAGGGUGAUCGGCCACACUGGAACUGAGACACGGUCCAGACUCCUACGGGAGGCAGCAGUAGGGAAUCUUCCGCAAUGGGCGAGAGCCUGACGGAGCAACGCCGCGUGAGUGAUGAAGGUCUUCGGAUCGUAAAACUCUGUUAUUAGGGAAGAACAAAUGUGUAAGUAACUAUGCACGUCUUGACGGUACCUAAUCAGAAAGCCACGGCUAACUACGUG
rnacentral:rRNA from 1 species